rnacentral:misc_RNA from 1 species
GAUGAAGAACGUAGCGAAAUGCGAUACUUGGUGUGAAUUGCAGAAUCCCGUGAACCAUCGAGUCUUUGAACGCAAGUUGCGCCCGAAGCCUCGGCUAAGGGCACGUCUGCCUGGGCGUCACGCAUCGCGUCUCCCCCAAACCGCCAAGGCGGAGGGGAAGGAAGAUGGCUUCCCGUGCCUCACCCGGGCGCGGUUGGCCUAAAUUUGGAGCCCGCGGCACUUAGCUCUCGCGGCGAUAGGUGGUGAACAAGGCCUUGGCCGUGCAAACAACCCGCUGCGAAGCUCUAUGUCACGUGCGCUCGUCGGACCCUUUGAAGUUGCCUUCGGUGACUUAAAACCUUUGCGACCCCAGGUCAGGCGGGGCUACCCGCUGAAUUUAAGCAUAUCAUAAGCGGAGGA